rnacentral:rRNA from 1 species
GACAGGUGCUGCAUGGCUGUCGUCAGCUCGUGUUGUGAAAUGUUGGGUUAAGUCCCGCAACGAGCGCAACCCUUAUCCUUUGUUGCCAGCGAUUAGGUCGGGAACUCAAAGGAGACUGCCAGUGAUAAACUGGAGGAAGGUGGGGAUGACGUCAAGUCAUCAUGGCCCUUACGACCAGGGCUACACACGUGCUACAAUGGCGCAUACAAAGAGAAGCGACCUCGCGAGAGCAAGCGGACCUCAUAAAGUGCGUCGUAGUCCGGAUUGGAGUCUGCAACUCGACUCCAUGAAGUCGGAAUCGCUAGUAAUCGUGGAUCAGAAUGCCACGGUGAAUACGUUCCCGGGCCUUGUACACACCGCCCGUCACACCAUGGGAGUGGGUUGCAAAAGAAGUAGGUAGCUUAACCUUCGGGAGGGCGCUUACCACUUUGUGAUUCAUGACUGGGGUGAAGUCGUAACAAGGUAACCGUAGGGGAACCUGCGGUUGGAUCACCUCCUUACCUGAAAGAA